rnacentral:rRNA from 1 species
UACGGAGGAUGCAAGCGUUAUCCGGAUUCAUUGGGUUUAAAGGGUGCGUAGGCGGAAUAUUAAGUCAGUGGUGAAAUCCUGCAGCUUAACUGUAGAACUGUCAUUGAUACUGAUAUUCUUGAAUGUAGUUGAGGUGGGCGGAAUAUGUAAUGUAGCGGUGAAAUGCUUAGAUAUUACAUAGAACACCGAUUGCGAAGGCAGCUCACUAAGCUAUGAUUGACGCUGAGGCACGAAAGCGUGGGUAGCGAACAGG